rnacentral:rRNA from 1 species
GACGAACGCUGGCGGCGUGCUUAACACAUGCAAGUCGAACGGGGCACUUGUUUUCGGAUAAGUGUUCAGUGGCGGACUGGUGAGUAACGCGUGAGUAACUUGCCCUUCAGUGGGGGACAACAGUUGGAAACGACUGCUAAUACCGCAUAAUGUACAGAGGUGGCAUCAUUUUUGUACCAAAGAUUUAUUGCUGAAGGAUGGACUCGCGUCUGAUUAGCUAGUUGGUGAGGUAACGGCCCACCAAGGCGACGAUCAGUAGCCGGACUGAGAGGUUGACCGGCCACAUUGGGACUGAGAUACGGCCCAGACUCCUACGGGUGGCAG